rnacentral:lncRNA from 1 species
UCUUUUUAAUGUUCAAAUGAACCCCUGGAGAAUGAUCAGCCAUUUGGUAGAAAAGUAGUCCAAUCCCAUUUGGGAAAGUAAAGUUCCUGUAACUUAAGCAUGCACAAAACUAUAGGCAGCAAUUUCCAGUAUUACAACAAAUGUAGUUCUUGCGCUGCCAGAAGAUAAGGAAACAAACCAAGGAGUGCAUUGAGCAUCUCUCAUCCCAAAAUAUCAUCCAAACAAAGGGGAAAUCAAACACACCAAUUUUGGCUACAGAAAUUAGGAGCAUAAGAGAGUGCUCAAAGCAACCAAAGCUAUACACAGUUAAUCCAAUCAAAAGCUACAUCACAUGUUCCUGUUAUUUCUGCCUGGACUUUUUGGCAGACUUUCGGCUCUCAAGUUUCUUUCUUGCUGCCUCAAACUCUUCUUCACUGGGUUCCGAACUCUGCAUUCCACCACCAUAUUUAUUCACCA